UACGGAGGGUGCAAGCGUUAUCCGGAUUCACUGGGUUUAAAGGGUGCGUAGGUGGGUUGGAAAGUCAGUGGUGAAAUCCCCGAGCUUAACUUGGGAACUGCCAUUGAUACUAUCAGUCUUGAAUACCGUGGAGGUCAGCGGAAUAUGUCAUGUAGCGGUGAAAUGCUUAGAUAUGACAUAGAACACCAAUUGCGAAGGCAGCUGGCUACACGGAUAUUGACACUGAGGCACGAAAGCGUGGGGAUCAAACAGG
rnacentral:rRNA from 1 species